UCCAUGUUGGUUUUGGCUGUAUUUGUUCACCAGUGAAGCCUCAAUUCUUGUCCCCCACAGAGCUUGCACCACGCAAGACAUUUUACAACCAAUCUGCAUCACAAUAAUCCUGCCAGAUGACAUCACAAUGGUCCUGUCAGAUGAUCUCACUGGCUUCAAGAACAUAAUCACGUUCGGUCCCUAUUUACUGGCACCCUCAGGCUGCUCAGCACAUGCUGCACCGUCAGUCUCCAGAUGAAAGGCAUUGCUUCGGUUAAAGUUAUUUCCACUUAGUAAAAGGAAAAUGUAUUCAU
rnacentral:lncRNA from 1 species